rnacentral:rRNA from 1 species
CCUACGGGAGGCAGCAGUGAGGAAUAUUGGUCAAUGGGCGGGAGCCUGAACCAGCCAAGUAGCGUGAAGGAUGACUGCCCUAUGGGUUGUAAACUUCUUUUAUAUGGGAAUAAAAUGUUCCACGUGUGGGAUUUUGUAUGUACCAUAUGAAUAAGGAUCGGCUAACUCCGUGCCAGCAGCCGCGGUAAUACGGAGGAGCCGAGCGUUAUCCGGAUUUAUUGGGUUUAAAGGGAGCGUAGGUGGAUUGUUAAGUCAGUUGUGAAAGUUUGCGGCUCAACCGUAAAAUUGCAGUUGAAACUGGCAGUCUUGAGUACAGUAGAGGUGGGCGGAAUUCGUGGUGUAGCGGUGAAAUGCUUAGAUAUCACGAAGAACUCCGAUUGCGAAGGCAGCUCACUGGACUGCAACUGACACUGAGGCUCGAAAGUGUGGGUAUCAAACAGGAUUAGAUACCCUGGUAGUC